UGGUCGUGAGCGUGACAUUGUGGUUCGUUGUUUAAAGGUAUCAACUUCGGAUCUCAGUCAAUGAACCUGGAUUGUGCCCUGAGGCUGGUGCAGAAGUUGGGCAUGUUUCCUUACACCUGAUGCUCGUGCUCACCUAGCAGGGUUCCAUCUACUGUAAGACGAUACUCUUAAAAUAUAUUACGAUAACAAAAGCAUUAACCAUGAUAAAGCCUCAGGAUUGUUUAUAAUCCUAAGAAGGGAAGAACACGAAGGAGCAACACUGCAGAAGGCCUACUGGCCCAUACUAGGUAAUGAUAACAACGACUCGAUAAAGCCAUAACGGAGCAACCCAGGCUUAGGGCUGUCCUGCUGGGCCUAACGUUCAAAGUUGGAUAGUUUGUAAAGCCAUGAAUAACCCAACCUGUGCCUCAGCCAUGCACAUGUUGCUGAAGCAUGAGGGCUCUUGUGGUCGUAUGUUGGCAGCGGCUGCUCAGUUGCUGUAAUUAUUAUGAAGGUUAGUUAGUAUUUAUUGCCUGCCUGGGUAGA